AAAAAGAGAAAAAAUUACAUAAAUUGCUUAAAUUUCACAAUUAUUAAGUUUAUGUACAGCUUAUUCGAAAACAAAAAUAAAAAAUAAUAGGUCACCUAUGAGUUAAAAAAGAUAUUUCAAUUUUAAUGCCAAAAAAUGGCAUUUUUGCACCAAAGGCAGAUAACUUGGAGCUUUUUCAAUGAAAUCCACAUUUUAAAAGUUCGCUGGGCCCAAC
rnacentral:lncRNA from 1 species